CGAUCCCACGAUCUUUGAAACCGUUUCGUUCAUCUUCCUUUAAAUUCAUCUCUACUUGCAUUCACAAAUUCUAAAUCCCUAAAUUAUAUGCGACAAUUCUCUAUUACUCUCUCAGAAUUUGUGAUGGAAUAUUUUUUAACAAUUUCUUUUUUGAUGGAAUCUUAAUAUCUAAUGAGAUAGUUCGAAGACCUGUGUAUCAGAAUACCUACACUUUUGAGUCUACGGCUUUUGAUCAAGAUUGCAAAAGCUACAUAUGGCAAAAAGAAUGAGGGUAAGAGGCUCACCUUGAGGCUUGAAGCACAAGUACAAGACCAUGAAGAAGCUUACAAGACACCAUAAGAAUAAGAGAAAAAUAUCGUGAAACCAGAAGGACCCCAUGUUUAGAUUGAGACCAAGGCUCAGCUUCUCAGAUACAAAAAUGUGGAAUCAAGGGCAUGGAAGAUAGUAUAAGAGUACGGGAAAGAAGACGAAGUAUACAUAAGAGAAGAAGGGAGAAAAGACUACAAUUAAAGUUGGAGGAAUCGUAUGUCACUUUAAAAAGAUGAAUAAGUGACUUGAUUACAAUUUGAGAACAACAAUGUGAUGAGUAAAAAUAGACUUCUUCGUCAUUGUGUAUAUGAUAUGUAUCUAAUUGUUCGUUUCUUUAUUCUUUUCCAUGUUUUGCGUUUCAGUUUUAUAUUUGGUGGUUUUAAAAGCAAAUGCAGAUAUCUUUAA